CCAUAACACAGAGUCUAAUGCUGCUGAUCUGACAGGAGGCGGGCUCAGGCGGUGUGCGAGCAGUGGGGAGCGGCUGUCAGUACAGAUGAAGCUUCACUUUCUCCCCUGCUGCUCACCUCCUGCUGUGUGGCCCAGUUCCUAACAGGCCAGGGACAGGUACUGGUCUGUGGCCCAGGGUUGGGGACUGCAGAUGUAGAAGGUAUUUACUGGGGCCUUACAUGAUGUCAGCCCUCUGUUGGGCACUGCAAAGCUUGGCUAGCCCUCAGACUCACAUGAGGAGCUGUGUGGAUAUACGGGUUAUCGGUCCCACCUCAUACUGAACUGGCCUUGCAGCGAGUGGAGCCCAAGAAUAAGCAUUUUUGGAAAGCUUCCUGAGCAAUGGUAAUGCAGCCAGCCCAUAAAAUUGUUCUGGAAUCUCUGCUACGGGCACUGCAAGAGAAGAGGAGGGGAGGCUCCCUGCCCAGAGAGGGUUUACAGCUCACAGAGGCCCAGGAUACGUUGUCACGUGGUGAAGGCCACCUCUGGUUUAGAAUGACUGAGCCUGCAUUUUACUGGGAUAACAGAAGUAUGCUUCAUAAACUGUGACAUGUGUACAAGUUGAGUCAAAGUUAGAAACAGACUGUUCUGAAGAGAAGGAAGACUGGGUGUAGCCUCAUGAGGACAGAGGUGAAUACCUCUGUCCACUGAAUACAAGUGGAAGCAGAAGUGGUUAAAAUUCUGAUUAUCCACAGAUAAUUGUGAGAAAUGGAUAUUCUGCUCUAAUUAUCAAUUAUCUAUCUAUCAUCUAUCUAUCUAUCUAUAUCUGUCUACCUACCUACCUCUGUCCUCUAUCUGUUUUCCCAUCAGUAUCUUUACUCUAAUCUAGCUCACUUUGGUUUAUUGUGCUGGUUUUAAUUCUUAUCACUGAAGAUCUUUCUGGCACAUACAUGAGGUGAGCAAUGGCCAGGCGUUCUGGGUUCAAGUCCCAGCUCCGCUUUGCUGGCUGUUUGACUUUGAACAAGUCUUUCCUCCGGUCUAGGACUCAGUUUUCCCCUCGGAGCAAGGAGCUCUGGUUGGACGGCCUCUGGAGUCCCUGCAGCUCCAAUACUCUGUGAAAACGUGUGAGUCCCCUUUCCUGCCCUAGCAAAGAUAGUCUAGUGGCCACAACAGAAUCUUUCUUUCCCACUAGAAGGCCCAGCAAGACCUCAAGUCCUCACCCAGAACGAGUUCCUGUUUGUCAGGGAUCCAGGUGGGAAAGGUCCAAGAGUUUUGGCUGAAUGUUCAUUGAGCACAGACCACACCAUGGAGAGUGGUUAGUUCCAAAAGGACUAAUUGUCAACUCUGAGCUCUCUGCAGUAUCACUUGCGUUUCUUCUCAAAAGUGGAUUCAGGGAGGAAAGACACUAGUAUCUUGGAUACUUACAGAGAAUUGAACGUAUGUUCUGCUUCAUUUGUAAACUAUUCUUGUUACUGUCCAUAGUGAUGGGGAGAGCAGUGGCAGUCACCAACAAAAGCUUAUUGAGAGGAUAUUAUCUGACAGCCUUUGUGCUAACUCAAAUCAGCAUGUGUGCCUCGAGUUGGAAUGCUCCGGAAAUUUUGUUUGCUGCAAUCUUGCCUUUUUCAUUAUGGCAAAUAGACAAGUGGUAAGAAUAGCAAGCGUUCCCCGAACCACCCGGAUGAAUGGAGCUGGGCUGACAGUGGUAGGAAGGCUUCAGGGCGGGUGUCAAGCCCAGCAUCCCGUUUAUGCCUUUAGUCCAGCGAUACACUAACAGGGAUCUUUUUUGUCUGGUCAAGCCCAAGUACCUCUUCCCACUUAAAACCUAUGUCCAAGAAGCUUCUGUGGCUAAUCUCAAUGUGCCAUGGUGGUUCCCUUGUCUCUGAGUGACAGGCACUGCACGCCAAACACUCAUCUCUAUGACAUCACAUUACCUCUGAUAGAAGCGUUAGGACAUUAGUCACAUUUUACAGAAAAGGAAGUUUAGAGAUGUUACUCUACUUGCCUGAGAUCUCAGAGCUAUUAGGAGGUGGGGUCAAGAUUGAAACCCAGGUCAGUCUGGGUUUACUCUCCUGCCACCCCCUGGUUGGGCCCCCCAUUUACUCAAUAACCACAUGUCUCCCCAAGUUAGUAGUAAGCCCGGCCCACAGAAGUUCUGCAUGCAUGAGAGGGUCACUACACGAGUGUCUUUGUCUGUCCUGCAAUUCCAAGUUCAGCGUUGUCCAGUCUCUUUUGUAGUGAACAGUCAUGGAACUGAAUGGAAGUGAUAUCUUUGGUUGGCACCCAGCCGGGCGAGUGGGCUUGAGGGCUCAGAGGAUAAGGAUUGAAAUUCCACUGAGAAAGACAACCCUGUUAUGAAAAGGAAAUUAGCUGCAGAUAUUAGAAAGCUGGUACAGGUCCUUCGAGCCAUGAGCUUUCUAGCAGGUCUGCCAUGGAAUCAAAUCAGAUUAAAGAUGUAGAAGAUGUAUGGUACACUGUGGAAUGCUGAGACUGUCUACAGCCAGUCUUGGAAACUCCUCUUUCUCCGGACUUCAUUCAAUGCCCCUCCCAUCUCCCCUGAAGCCCAACUCAGGCUCCGCGAGCACAGGAGCGACUGCUCAGGCGGUGUGGACCGCACGGUGCCCUGCGGGCUCCACCCUCUCCACGGGGGUCAGGGACCCCGUGAAAAUUCCUGCCUCUCAGCCACCCUGUGGAUUCCAGCCACCCUGCUCUGGUGACUGUCUCUGUGCAAGUGUCCGGUCCCGCCUUUAGCAGCUCUCUUUGCUCGCACUCUUCACACCAGUUUCCCGCAACUGCCGUCGCUGCUCAGCCCGCUUUCUCUUCAACCCACUGAGGUUAGGAAGGCCAGCCCACCUGCCCACUGAAACUGCUCCCGUCAAGGCCAGCCCACCUGCCCUCUGAAACUGCUCCCGUCAAGGCCAGCCCCACGCCACUGAAACUGCUCCCGUCAAGGCCAGCCACCACGCCACCGAAACUGCUCCCGUCAAGGCCAGCCCACCACGCCACUGAAACUUCUCCCGUCAAGGCCAGCCCACCACGCCACUGAAACUGCUCCCGUCAAGGCUACCAAAGAGUCCCCGCCCCUUAGCUUCCUGGCUGCUGCUUUCUCCUCUUCCGAACCUGCAAGGUUGAGAGGCUCCCGGGCCGGGCAGGUUAUCUCCCUACCUAAGUGCAUCUCCCUCGACCCCCUUGGUACCAGCCAUAUGCUUACGACUCCCAAAUGCCUACCUAUCUCAAACCUAGAAUUCUCCCACGCAUCCGGGCUUGCAUUUCUAAACACUUGUUCACAUUUCCACAUGGAUGUCUAACAGCCACCCCUGAACUUAUUUCUCCUGAGCCUUCUCGCAUUGGUAAAUGGACUAACAUUGACCCAGCGAACCCAGCUGAAAGUAAGUGCGGGUGUCGUCUGAGAGUCCUUCCCCUCAUCCUCUCUCCAGCGCCAUGCACCAGCCUGCUGUAGCAAAGCCCUGGCCGCGUGGGAGCCGCUUGGUUUGGGCAAUGCCUAGAAGCUGGAAGAGCUUUGAGGUGCAUGACAGAAGAGGCCUGAAGUGUCUCGAAGAGGCCAUUGCUAGAAAUGUGGACAAGGUCUCGGACGGGAAUAAGGAACAUAUCGCAAACUGGAGAAGCAACCACCCUCGUUAUCAAGUGGCAGAGAACUUGGAUGGAUUGGGUUCACUGUUUUGUGAUGACUGCGGAUAUUUAGCUGAGGAAAUUUUCAA